GGUGAACCUGCGGAAGG
rnacentral:rRNA from 1 species